UACGUAGGGACCAAGCGUUGUUCGGAUUUACUGGGCGUAAAGGGCGCGUAGGCGGCGUGGUAAGUCACUUGUGAAAUCUCUGAGCUUAACUCAGAACGGCCAAGUGAUACUGCUGUGCUAGAGUGCAGAAGGGGCAACUGGAAUUCUCGGUGUAGCGGUGAAAUGCGUAGAUAUCGAGAGGAACACCUGCGGCGAAGGCGGGUUGCUGGGCUGAUACUGACGCUGAGGCGCGAAAGCCAGGGGAGCGAACGGGG
rnacentral:rRNA from 1 species